GUGAAUCAUCGAAUCUUUGAACGCAAAUUGCACUCCCUGGUAUUCCGGGGAGCAUGCCUGUUUGAGGGUCGUUAGUACACACGACGAUGCGUCGCUCUUUUUUUUAUGGGUGAUCGCGCCGGAAUUGAGACGUCUUUCAAAUGUUAAUGCAUGUCAAAGUGGCUUAAAAUUCAUCCAUCCGGUACGAUUAAAGCGUAUUUAAGAUCAACU
rnacentral:misc_RNA from 1 species